GACGAACGCUGGCGGCGUGCUUAACACAUGCAAGUCGAACGGAAAGGCCCUGCUUUUGUGGGGUGCUCGAGUGGCGAACGGGUGAGUAACACGUGAGUAACCUGCCCUUGACUUUGGGAUAACUUCAGGAAACUGGGGCUAAUACCGGAUAGGAGCUCCUGCUGCUUGGUGGGGGUUGGAAAGUUUCGGCGGUUGGGGAUGGACUCGCGGCUUAUCAGCUUGUUGGUGGGGUAGUGGCUUACCAAGGCUUUGACGGGUAGCCGGCCUGAGAGGGUGACCGGCUACAUUGGGACUGAGAUACGGCCCAGACUCCUACGGGAGGCAGCAGUGGGGAAUAUUGCACAAUGGGCGGAAGCCUGAUGCAGCAACGCCGCGUGCGGGAUGACGGCCUUCGGGUUGUAAACCGCUUUCGCCUGUGACGAAGCGUGAGUGACGGUAAUGGGUAAAGAAGCACCGGCUAACUACGUG
rnacentral:rRNA from 1 species